rnacentral:rRNA from 1 species
AUUGAACGCUGGCGGCAGGCCUAACACAUGCAAGUCGAGCGGAUGAAGGUAGCUUGCUACCUGAUUCAGCGGCGGACGGGUGAGUAAUGCCUAGGAAUCUGCCUGGUAGUGGGGGACAACGUUUCGAAAGGAACGCUAAUACCGCAUACGUCCUACGGGAGAAAGUGGGGGAUCUUCGGACCUCACGCUAUCAGAUGAGCCUAGGUACGAGUAGAUAGGUGGUGAGGUAAAGGCGCACCAAGGAGACGAUCGUUAUCUGGUCUGAGAGGAUGGUCAGUCACACUGGGACUGGGACACUGUCCAGUCUCCUACGGGAGGCAGCAGUUGCGAAUAUUGGACCAUGGGCUAAAGCCUGAUCCAGCCCUGCGGCGUGUGUGAAGAAGGUCUUCGGAUUGUAAAGCACUUUAAGUUGGGAGGAAGGGCAGUAAGUUAAUACCUUGCUGUUUUGACGUUACCGACAGAAUAAGCACCGGCUAACUUCGUGCCAGCCGCCGCCGUAA